rnacentral:rRNA from 1 species
UACGUAGGGUGCGAGCGUUAAUCGGAAUUACUGGGCGUAAAGCGUGCGCAGGCGGUUUUGUAAGCCAGAUGUGAAAGCCCCGGGCUUAACCUGGGAAUGGCAUUUGGGACUGCAAGGCUUGAGUGCGGCAGAGGAGACUGGAAUUCCCGGUGUAGCAGUGAAAUGCGUAGAUAUCGAGAGGAAUACCGAUGGCGAAGGCAGGCCUCUGGGCUGACACUGACGCUCAUGCACGAAAGCGUGGGGAGCAAACAGG